CCCAGCUGAACAAGAGCGAAAUUAUUUAUUUCAGCAAUUUUAGUGCUGCUCUUCAUGAGAAAGUUCCAGUUAAAACACGAUGCUUCUCUUCGCCUGUGGAUUAAUGAUGCUGGCAGCAGCUGCCUCUCGUGUAGUCGUAUCGAGGGACACCUUUGAAGGUGAACUUAUGGUAAAAGCCAUGAGUUUUAUCAUCCCUAAUAGCCAACCCCCUCCCGGUGAGUUUAGCCAACCCCCUCCCGGUGAGUUUAGCCAACCCCCUCCCGGUGAGUUUAGCCAAC